AAAUUAGAGUUUUGACCCCAAUUUUACGGUUCACUGAACAUAGAAAAUGAUAGUGCAAAUUUCAGGUUAAAGUUUUUGGCUUCAGGUUAAAGUUUUUGGUCAAGGUAGUUUUUGAUGAAGUUGAAGUCCAAACAACUUGAAACUUAGUAUACAUGUGCCCUAUGAUAUGAUCUUUCUAAUUUAAAUGCCAAAUUAGAGUUUUGACCCCAAUUUUACGGUUCACUGAACAUAGAAAAUGAUAGUGCAAAUUUCAGGUUAAAGUUUUUGGCUUCAGGUUUAAAGUUU
rnacentral:lncRNA from 1 species